UACGAAGGGGGCUAGCGUUGUUCGGAAUCACUGGGCGUAAAGCGCACGUAGGCGGAUUUUUAAGUCAGGGGUGAAAUCCUGGAGCUCAACUCCAGAACUGCCUUUGAUACUGAGAAGCUUGAGUCCGGGAGAGGUGAGUGGAACUGCGAGUGUAGAGGUGAAAUUCGUAGAUAUCGCAAGAACACCAGUGGCGAAGGCGGCUCACUGGCCCGGUACUGACGCUGAGGUGCGAAAGCGUGGGGAGCAACAGGG
rnacentral:rRNA from 1 species